rnacentral:snRNA from 1 species
GUCUUUUUGCUAAGAUCAAGUGUGGUAUCUGUUCUUAUCAGUUU